rnacentral:lncRNA from 1 species
GUUACACGCGUCUGGGAGCUGCUGUUGACAGGUACUAGUAAUCUAGAGAUUGGGGUAUAUGCUCAGCUAUCUGUAUAAUACAGAUCUGUGUGUAUAAAAUAUCCCGGGACAGUCAGUGCUUCCUGUAUAGUGCUGCUCUCUGUCUUGGGAUAUUAUACACAAACAGACCUGUAUUAUACAGAGAGCAGCACUAUACAGGGAGCACUGAGUGUCCCAAUUUAUUAUAC